GAUGAACGCUGGCGGCGUGCCUAAUACAUGCAAGUCGAGCGAACGGACGAGAAGCUUGCUUCUCUGAUGUUAGCGGCGGACGGGUGAGUAACACGUGGAUAACCUACCUAUAAGACUGGGAUAACUUCGGGAAACCGGAGCUAAUACCGGAUAAUAUUUUGAACCGCAUGGUUCAAAAGUGAAAGACGGUCUUGCUGUCACUUAUAGAUGGAUCCGCGCUGCAUUAGCUAGUUGGUAAGGUAACGGCUUACCAAGGCAACGAUGCAUAGCCGACCUGAGAGGGUGAUCGGCCACACUGGAACUGAGACACGGUCCAGACUCCUACGGGAGGCAGCAGUAGGGAAUCUUCCGCAAUGGGCGAAAGCCUGACGGAGCAACGCCGCGUGAGUGAUGAAGGUCUUCGGAUCGUAAAACUCUGUUAUUAGGGAAGAACAUAUGUGUAAGUAACUGUGCACAUCUUGACGGUACCGAAGCAGAAAGCCACGGCUAACUACAU
rnacentral:rRNA from 1 species